UAAUACGUAGGGGGCAAGCGUUACUCGGAUUUACUGGGCGUAAAGCGAAUUAAGGCGGUCUUGUAAGUCAGUGGUGAAAUCCCUCGGCUCAACUGAGGAAUUGCCUUUGAUACUGCUUGACUUGAGGACAGGAGAGGAAAGUGGAAUUCCCGGUGUAGCGGUGGAAUGCGUAGAUAUCGGGAGGAACACCAGAGGCGAAGGCGGCUUUCUGGACUGGUCCUGACGCUGAUAUUCGAAAGCUAGGGGAGCAAACAGGAUUAGAUACCCUGGUAGUCCUAGCCGUAAACGAUGGAUACUAGAUCUCGCAUAAUUUUGCUUGGUCGAAGCUAACGCGUUAAGUAUCCCGCCUGGGGAGUACGGUCGCAAGGCUGAAACUUAAAUGAAUUGACGG
rnacentral:rRNA from 1 species